CUAAGGAUGUUCCUAGUCAGCAUGAACUUGUUCAUACUCGUGGAACACUUAGCAAUGAUGCGUAAUCAAAACGCAUCAACAUCGGAGCAUCGCAAGAUGUUCCUUUGGACCGAGCCGUCCUCAUAUCUCUUCAGAAAAGUCGCGGCAGCAGCCGUUAUCUGGCGCUGCCUGGUGACAUAACCACUGAGUGCUGCUCUCGGGCAUUGCUUUGCAAUACCCUGUCGCACACGGGUUUUGAUUUGCUUUGCAAAUCGAAAACCGGGUCGGUAGCUCAGGUGGUUAGAGCGCACGCCUGAUAAGCGUGAGGUCGGAGGUUCAAGUCCUCCUCGACCCACCAGUCAUCCUUCGGGAUUAAGAUGGGGCCUUAGCUCAGCUGGGAGAGCGCCUGAUUUGCAUUCAGGAGGUCAGGAGUUCGAUCCUCCUAGGCUCCACCAUCACCCCAGAGGGGUGUUUGAUACCUGUUACAAUUAGAUCGUUAAGCACUGUGCGCAGUUCUUAACCGUCCAAUUGGACGAAUUGACAUCGUUAAGAGAGAAACAAUCAACAACACUGUUGAUCGCCCCGAGUGUGGGGAUGAUCUCAGAUUGGUGCUGUAUGUGGUCUUCGGACUAUUUACAGCGAGCUUUGGAACACGUCUGUUUCCUCGGACGUCCCAGGGUUUGCCAGCCUGAAACGACAGAGUUGUCCAAGUCAAGUACACUAACCCGGUUCUAAUUCCGCAAGGUUUUGGAACCAUUGUAUUUAUGAUGACUGUUUUGCGAAGAGGGCGGGAUCGACAUCACGCCGUUAGUAGUAAGACGCCUGUUCAUCAUGAAUGCGGGAAAGUAACUUUUUGGUCUGGAGAUUGUGACAUCGGUUUCUUACCAGCUUCCGAUGUCCCGAUGGUUCUUUUUGUCUGUCAUCUAUCCGCGCUCAAGUAGCCGAAUAGGCGGUAGCGCAAGUAUAAAGGCUAUCUAUUUCUGG
rnacentral:tRNA from 1 species